GAGCAUUUUCGAAUGCAGCCUAAAUACUUAUCAUCAUAAAUUUACUAUUGGUGAGAAUGAUGUGAAACCAUGAAAAGUCACAACUCCAGGUCAAGACUUUUCCAACGAUGCCAAAUUUAACCAUGAAAACCCAUCUGAUCAUAUAAAUACACUGGCCACAAAAUUUUGCUUAUUCACUUAAUAAUAUAAAUUUCAGAAAAAUU